rnacentral:rRNA from 1 species
GACGAACCGUCCAAACGUUAUUCGGAAUCACUGGGCUUACAGAGUUCGUAGGCGGUCUGGAAAGUUGGGUGUGAAAUCCCUCGGCUCAACCGAGGAACUGCGCUUGAAACUACCAGACUCGAGGGAGAUAGAGGAAAGCGGAACUGAUGGUGGAGCGGUGAAAUGCGUUGAUAUCAUCAGGAACACCAGUGGCGAAGGCGGCCAACUGGUCCGGUACUGACGCUGAGGUGCGAAAGCGUGGGGAGCAAACAGG